GUAAUGUCUGGGAAACUGCCUGAUGGAGGGGGAUAACUACUGGAAACGGUGGCUAAUACCGCAUAACGUCGCAAGACCAAAGAGGGGGACCUUCGGGCCUCUUGCCAUCAGAUGUGCCCAGAUGGGAUUAGCUUGUUGGUGAGGUAACGGCUCACCAAGGCGACGAUCCCUAGCUGGUCUGAGAGGAUGACCAGCCACACUGGAACUGAGACACGGUCCAGACUCCUACGGGAGGCAGCAGUGGGGAAUAUUGCACAAUGGGCGCAAGCCUGAUGCAGCCAUGCCGCGUGUAUGAAGAAGGCCUUCGGGUUGUAAAGUACUUUCAGCGGGGAGGAAGGUGUUGUGGUUAAUAACCGCAGCAAUUGACGUUACCCGCAGAAGAAGCACCGGCUAACUCCGUGCCAGCAGCCGCGGUAAUACGGAGGGUGCAAGCGUUAAUCGGAAUUACUGGGCGUAAAGCGCACGCAGGCGGUCUGUCAAGUCGGAUGUGAAAUCCCCGGGCUCAACCUGGGAACUGCAUUCGAAACUGGCAGGCUUGAGUCUUGUAGAGGGGGGUAGAAUUCCAGGUGUAGCGGUGAAAUGCGUAGAGAUCUGGAGGAAUACCGGUGGCGAAGGCGGCCCCCUGGACAAAGACUGACGCUCAGGUGCGAAAGCGUGGGGAGCAAACAGGAUUAGAUACCCUGGUAGUCCACGCCGUAAACGAUGUCUACUUGGAGGUUGUGCCCUUGAGGCGUGGCUUCCGGAGCUAACGCGUUAAGUAGACCGCCUGGGGAGUACGGCCGCAAGGUUAAAACUCAAAUGAAUUGACGGGGGCCCGCACAAGCGGUGGAGCAUGUGGUUUAAUUCGAUGCAACGCGAAGAACCUUACCUGGUCUUGACAUCCACAGAAGAAUCCAGAGAUGGAUUUGUGCCUUCGGGAACUGUGAGACAGGUGCUGCAUGGCUGUCGUCAGCUCGUGUUGUGAAAUGUUGGGUUAAGUCCCGCAACGAGCGCAACCCUUAUCCUUUGUUGCCAGCGGUUAGG
rnacentral:rRNA from 1 species